rnacentral:lncRNA from 1 species
GUUAUAAGAACAUUUUCAGAUUUAAAAAUUUUUGAAAACGAAUUUAGAACUAUAUACUAAUCUAAAAUACAAAACAUAUUGAACACAGACCAUAUAUCUAAAAUAUUAUUUAAAUAACACACUACAUAUAAAGUCUAUAUAAAUGCACUGGAUAAUACAUAUACAGAGAGGAAGUAGCCCAAUGACCAAGCUUACCUGGCUUGGUGUUCACCACAGGGGGUGGGUAUCAUAUUCCAUCAGCACAGUAGUACUAGAGGUUAUUAGUGGCACAACACUUCCAAGAAGGAGGGAGUUUACAGGGAUCAUUAUCAUUAAUGACUUCACAAUAGUUUUUUUAUUUUUUCUAGAUACGUCACUUCUAUAGUAGAGUCUCUCAUAUUUUCUCAUACACGUUUUACUAUAUCUGCUCCAUUCCAAUCUAUAUGUAUGACUUGCUCAUAAGCCUUGUUUGCCAAUGCA